AAAAGACAUCCCGAGUGAUGUAAUUUUGGUCCUCUUCAAAGAUGAGGCACCAAGUUUCUCUGAGUUUUUGGGAACUGAUAAAGAAGGAAAAGAAAAACAUGUUUUGGAAAUAAAAUGCUUCUGUAUUUGAAGUAAUUUGUAUCUUCCAUUGGACUGAAAGAGUCUUUUUAAAAGCCCGAUAAAUAAGCAGUAUUAAAAAAAGGCUAAUUUACUACUUUACUUCACUAUGAGACGGAUCCUCUCAUUUUUAUAAAUAUUAAUAAAUAAUGUCUAGUACUAGAAAUGAUGUGUUUGGAAUUUCGGCUCUGAACAGCCAGUAUGUUUUAUAGGUAUAUUUCUACAAAUUACAUUGCAAAAAUUUAGCAGGAAACUCAAGUGCCCCACAAUGUGCAAUGGAAGUGCCAAAUAUGAGUGUUUCUGGACUACUAAUCGUAUGGCAUUUUGAUUGAUUGUUGAACCAAAAACUAAAGUGUACCCUUAAAGAUCUAACCAGUGUUUUAAAGAAAGAUUUCUCCCUCCCUUCCUUCUUCCUUCCUUCUUUCUUCCUUCCUUCUUCCUUCCUUCUUUCUUCCUUCCUUCCUUCUUUCUUUCUUCCUUCCUUCCUUUCUUCCUUCCUCCCACUCUUCCUCUUCUUCCCCACUCUCUCAUCUAUUGAAAUGCUGCUGCAAAGAUUUCCUACAAAGAUCAUAGAUACGAAUCAUUUCCUUCCAAAAAUAUUUCUGUUCUUGAUUGAGUACUUUAGUUUUAGUAAAUAUGACUUUUAUGGGAUGCUUUUAUUUAACUAAUAUACAUUCAUUAUAUACCAGGUGCUAUAAAAGCACAUUAAAAAAGACAUUCUAUAACUAACUAUGAAGUGGAUCAAUUUGAUUUUUAAAUGUCUAAAGUGAAGUGGAACUGAGGUAGUGUGGCAAAGGGUGUGCCUUUAGUUCAAGGGGAUAUGUCCUACCUCUGCUUUUACGAUAUGUUCUGAGUAUAUCGCUAUAAAAGCUUGUAAAUUUUAAAUUUAAAUUAAUAACAAUAUCUCCAUGUUCUGAUUUUCCAUAGAGUUUUAUUAAUAAUCACCAAAGAUAGAGAAAGCAGAUUAAAGCCUAAUCUAACCUAAC
rnacentral:lncRNA from 1 species